rnacentral:tRNA from 1 species
ACUCUAGCCUAGUGGUUAGCGCUCUGGCCUAGCAGGCUGCUAUGCCAGGUGCUGCAGGUUCAAUUCCUGUCUAAAGUA